UCAUGCAUUACGAAAAAACAAACACCCAUGAGCAUCACCAUUAAAUCUGCAUCUCAAUACCUUUUCUACUACAUAAACCCUAAACAAACCAUAUUGCGAAGGGUCUCAGUGCGUUUUUUUCUUUCUUUUUGGGUUCCCCAGAAUAUUCUGAUUAUGGUUUUGAUUUACAGGUUUUUGUUGGUGGACGUCACAUUCGCAGAUUUUUUUUCCAGCAUCCAUCAGAUUAGCCAUGUCCGGUCCUGUUCUGGAUGCUGUUGGGAAGGUUGAUAACUUUGGCGGUGGAUACCAAGUUUUGUAGGAGGCCGUAAGAGCCUGAACAAAUUUAUGUUUAUUCAAACUGGGUACCCUUUUGGUCUUCCUGGAGAAGUCAUAUGUCACAUAAGCCAAACAUAUGCCAACUUCUUAGAGCCAUUACUCUUCAAUAGAUGGUCUGCAAGGAGAUGAUCUGGGUCCAUGAUGCCAUCAGAGAUACAAGGAUUUUUGUGCUCAAUAUUUAAAGUUGCGAUAUGUUGUAGUGAUGGAGAAGAUCAUUCACCAACCUUUGACUGAUAUCUGAAAGAAUCGAAAUGCUAUUUUUGGUCUGAAAAUUUUGUGCGCCUACAUAUGUCAAUUGUUACUUGAAUGUAAAACCCGUACUGAAACGGCACAAAAUAACACCUAAUAUAUUAAUAUUAACCCUACAGGAUAGUGAACAUCUAAGCUUCAUUAGAGAUGAAAUUACACCUAAUACCAUAUUGAAUGUUUAUAGAAAAAUGGUCCCUGAAGGAUGGGAAAAGACGCGCCAUCAUAAUUUGAGGAAAGGCAUGUGCGACAUAUAAAAUGUCAAAGGAAUAGUGUAGCAUAGGGGCCGUGGUUAAUGAUGUCAGUAACUAUUUAAAGGUAAAGUUCGGCUUUUCACAGGGUAACAAGAGAGGAAAUUUGGAGAUGAUAACUUUUCUCUUUGGCCCCAUAACUGAUGAUGUCCCAAAAUUGUGCAAGGAUAUAGAGAAUAUGCCGUUUAAAGCCUGAUCCCUGUUUUAACGAGUCCAAGUGCCGCAUUUGGUAAUAGCUUCAUGGAUGAUCAGACCAACUUCGUUACUAAUUGGAGGAGAACACUGAUUACGGUCGGGGUGAUAGCUCAGACCAAGGUGGAUGAAGCUUACAAGGUAAAAAAAGGAUGUUUAUCUAGAGCACACCGAGGUGAAUUCAGCAGCGGCUGGACAUGCCAAGGAAUUGGGAUCACUACGACAUGCGUCGUACCUUAACUUAAUAACUUUAAAGCUAAUGGUGGUUGUUUAUCACUUCAAAAAGAAAUCUAAAAUGAAAAUGUAGGCGUGAAGCGUGCCUAUUUGGUAUUGUAAUUCUCACUUCAAACUAUAGGAGAAUGUAUUCAAUUGUAUUGUCCUACUUUUAUACAUUUCUUGAGAGAAGAGUUAAGGAUCCUCC